CGGUCGAUUAGCUAUUUUGCUCUAUGUCAGCUGUCAGUGCCAGUGGCCUGCGUGGUUGUUAGAACUUAGAAGUGCUUGUCUAAUUUAACAUUUCAUCUCGUGGCUUGUUUUAUGUAACCGAGAAGCGAGAAACCACUGACCGCGAUUGUAAUCAGUUGCCAGACAAGCACAAAUAAUCACACCAAAAGCAAUGUGACUACGUCACUGAAGCAGAGUUAACCACGUGACCCAUCCAAGCCAACAGCUGAUGAUAAUCGCUAUCUCAAAAAUAGUUUUCCUACCUUGACUCAUUCGCCUUUAGCUACUGCAGCAAGCCAUUUCCAUUUCAUUGUUCACCUAUAAUGGAAUCGAGGAAAGACCCCUCGACCGUUGACCGCUCCGAUGCUUCCGUGUGGCGCUAUCUCCAUCUGGGUAUUCAAUACUUUUAAGAAACGAAAGAAGGGCCAGAUGAAAUGACCGGAAUAUACAUCACGUACUGUACGUAUAAAGACGACGGUGAAAUCCUUUCCUAUUAAAACCGUCUGCAUUUCACGGUAUCAAUACCAUCCAUUAGCGGCGAAAAAUGUUUGUUUCUUCCUUCUUUCUUCUCUUCUAGACUUGCUGGGACGGAUCCUGUGUCAUUAUGCAAAAAAGGACAAGCGGAUCGUCUGAUAGGGAAACGUUCGCCGAAGUCCAAGACAACGAUAUCGCCCGGCUACCGCAGUUCACCUUUGCCAAAGUCGUACGGACCUUCAUGUUCUUUAUUAUCAAGAUUACGUCUACGUGGCCGGCAAUUCAAAGGAACCAGCUUGUUACU